rnacentral:misc_RNA from 1 species
GAUGAAGAACGUAGCGAAAUGCGAUACGUAAUGUGAAUUGCAGAAUUCAGUGAAUCAUCGAGUCUUUGUACGCACAUUGCGCCCCCUGGUAUUCCGGGGGGCAUGCCUGUCCGAGCGUCAUUGCUGCCCUCAAGCACGGCUUGUGUGUUGGGCCUCCGUCCUCCUCCCGGGGGACGGGCCCGAAAGGCAGCGGCGGCACCGCGUCCGGUCCUCGAGCGUAUGGGGCUUCGUCACCCGCUCUUGUAGGCCCGGCCGGCGCUUGCCGACACAUCAAUCUUUUUUCCAGGUUGACCUCGGAUCAGGUAGGGAUACCCGCUGAACUUAAGCAUAUCAAUAAGCGGAGGA